GAAGUGGGGGACAACUCGGGGAAACUCGAGCUAAUACCGCAUAACAUCUACGGAUCAAAGUGGGGGAUCUUCGGACCUCACGCUGUUAGAGGAGCCUGCGUUGGAUUAGCUUGUUGGUAGGGUAACGGCCUACCAAGGCGACGAUCCAUAGCUGGUCUGAGAGGACGAUCAGCCACACUGGAACUGAGACACGGUCCAGACUCCUACGGGAGGCAGCAGUAGGGAAUCUUGGGCAAUGGGCGAAAGCCUGACCCAGCGAUGCCGCGUGUGUGAAGAAGGCCUUCGGGUUGUAAAGCACUUUCAGCAGCGAAGAAAUGUCGGGGGUUAAUACCUCCUGGCUUUGACGUUAACUGCAGAAGAAGUACCGGCUAACUCCGUG
rnacentral:rRNA from 1 species